GUUGCUGGCCCAAGCAAGGGCUCUCCUUCCUCACUUCAUGCCCUGGAGGAAGAAGGGACUGCACCAGAAAUGGAAGCUGGCAUGGAGUGCUCACUGCUUGACACAACAGAUGAUGAUCCUCAUAUGAUGGACAUGGACUUAAGUGUCCCACAAGAACCGAAAA